rnacentral:rRNA from 1 species
UACGGAGACUGCGAGCGUUACUCGGAUUUACUGGGCGUAAAGGGUGCGUAGGUGGUUAUGUGUGUCAGAUGUGAAAACUUGAAGCUCAACUUCAAGCCUGCGUCUGAAACUACAUAACUAGAGAGUUGGAGAGGUAAGUAGAAUUCCUAGUGUAGCAGUGAAAUGCGUAGAUAUUAGGAGGAACACCAAAGGCGAAGGCAGCUUACUGGACAACAACUGACACUAAAGCACGAAAGCGUGGGGAGCAAAAGGG